rnacentral:rRNA from 1 species
AUGGGGUGCAGCAGGCGCGAAACUUUCCCAAUGCACGCAAGUGUGAGGAAGAGAUCUGGAGUGCUUUCUCUUCGGAGAGAGCUUUUGUCAAAUCUAAACAGUUUGGCGAAUAAGGGGUGGGUAAGACGGGUGCCAGCCGCCGCGGUAAUACCCGCGCCCCGAGUGGUGGCCACGUUUAUUGGGCUUAAAGCGUUCGUAGCCGGUUUUACAAGUCCCUGGUGAAAUCGAUUAGUAAACUAAUUGGCUUGCUGGGGAUACUGCGAAACUUGGGACCGGGAGAGGUCAAGGGUACUCCAGGGGUAAGGGUAAAAUCUUAUAAUCCUUGGAGGACCGCCUGUGGCGAAGGCGCUUGACUAGAACGGAUCCGACGGUGAGGGACGAAAGCUAGGGGAGCGACCCGGAUUAGAUACCCGGUUAGUCCUAGCUGUAAACGAUGCCCACUAGACAUUGGAAAUCUUACGUGGGUUUCCAGUGUCGUAGGGAAACCGUUAAGUGGGCCGCCUGGGGAGUACGUUCGCAAGGAUGAAACUUAAAGGAAUUGGCGGGGGAGCAC